rnacentral:rRNA from 1 species
AUGCCGGCCCUGAGGCCGCCGCCGCCGCGCCUCAUGCUCAACGCCGUCUCCUGCAUGCGGAACGCGCAGACGGUGCUGCGGGACAUCAACGUCAGCGUCCACGACGGCACGGCGCUCGUCCUCACGGGCGCCAACGGCUCCGGCAAGACCACCUUCCUGCGGAUGCUGGCCGGCUUCUCGCGCCCCUCGGCCGGGGAGAUCCUCUGGAACGGCCACGACGUCACCACCCCGGGGGUAUUCCAGCAGUACAAGCUGCAGCUCAACUGGAUGUCGCUCAAGGACGCCGUCAAGGAGAAGCUCACCGUGCUGGAGAACGUCCAGUGGUUCGAGCUCCUCGAGGGCAAGCACGGCAGGUCCGCCCCAGCCAUCGAGCUCAUGGGCCUCGGCAGGCUCAUGAACGACAAGGCCAGGAUGCUCUCCAUGGGGCAGAGGAAGCGCCUCCAGCUCGCCAGGCUGCUCGCCAUCGACCGCCCGAUCUGGCUCCUCGACGAGCCCUCCGUCGCGCUCGACUCCGAGGGCGUCAAGCUGCUCGAGUACAUCAUAGCGGAGCACCGCAAGAAGGGUGGGAUCGUCAUCGUCGCCACGCAUCUGCCCAUUGAGAUCGAGGAUUCCAUGAACCUCCGUCUUCCGCAGCGGUUCCCCCGGAGGAAAACUCUGGUUGAUCUUGUGCGUUGA